CAAUAGCGUAUAUUAAAGUUGUUGCAGUUAAAAAGCUCGUAGUUGGAUUUCUGGUUGGAGCGACCGGUCGGGCGUUGAUUCGUCUGCACUGGAGUCGGUUUUGGCCAUCCUCUAGGAAAGUGCGUCUGGUAUUAAGUUAUCGGGCGUAUGAUCCUGGUCUUUUACUGUGAAAAAAUUAGAGUGUUUAAAGCAGGCCUUCGCCUUGAAUACAUUAGCAUGGAAUAAUAAGAUAGGACUUUGGUCUAUUUUGUUGGUUUGCAGACCGAAGUAAUGAUUAAUAGGGAUAGUUGGGGGUAUUUAUAUUCCGAUGUCAGAGGUGAAAUUCUUAGAUUUUCGGAAGAUAAACUUAUGCGAAAGCAUUUACCAAGGAUGUUUUCAUUGA
rnacentral:rRNA from 1 species